CCAGACUCCUACGGGAGGCAGCAGUGGGGAAUAUUACACAAUGGGCGAAAGCCUGAUGCAGCAACGCCGCGUGAAGGAAGACGGUUUUCGGAUUGUAAACUUCUGUUCUUAGUGAAGAAUAAUGACGGUAACUAAGGAGCAAGCCACGGCUAACUACGUGCCAGCAGCCGCGGUAAUACGUAGGGUGCGAGCGUUAUCCGGAUUUAUUGGGUUUAAAGGGUGCGCAGGCGGAGGUGCAAGUCAGCGGUCAAAUUGCGGGGCUCAACCCCGUACUGCCGUUGAAACUGCAUCCCUUGAGUGGGCGAGAAGUACGCGGAAUGCGUGGUGUAGCGGUGAAAUGCAUAGAUAUCACGCAGAACUCCGAUUGCGAAGGCAGCGUACCGGCGCCCAACUGACGCUGAAGCACGAAGGCGUGGGUAUCGAACAGGAUUAGAUACCCCUGUA
rnacentral:rRNA from 1 species